UACAGGGGGUGCAAUCGUUGCUCGGAAUUAUUGGGCGUAAAGCGCGCGUAGGCGGCUACUUAAGUCGGAUGUGAAAGCCCCUGGCUCAACCGGGGAAGUGCACCCGAAACUGAGUAGCUAGAGUACGAAAGAGGGUCGCGGAAUUCCCGGUGUAGAGGUGAAAUGCGUAGAUAUCUGGAGGAACACCGGUGGCGAAGGCGGCGUCCUGGACCAACACUGACACUGAGGAGCGAAAGCCAGGGGAGCAAACGGG
rnacentral:rRNA from 1 species